AAAACCACCCACUAUGUGUGCGCCACCAUAUUAUCCAAAACUAGCAAGCGGUGAAAUAAGAUACAGUUGUGAUAUUUUGUUUAGCAAAAUGAGCCAGCAACAACCUCAAAGAGGUGAUGAGCUACAAGAACAGCAACGAAGAGAUCAAGAGCAGCAGCAACAACGACAACAAGGCCAACCAGCGCAGCCCGUCAGAUACGGUGAUGUUUUCCCGGUAGCAGGAGAGCUGGCGUCAAAGCCAGUAGCACCAAGAGAUGCUGCCAUGAUGCAGACCGCCGAGAACGCGGUGUUCGGGCAGACCCAGAAGGGUGGUCCUGCUGCUACUAUGCAGGCAGCUGCUACGGUCAAUGAGAGGGCUGGUUUUGUUAGCCACAUCGGUGUAUCCGAUCCGGCUGCUCGACAGGGCGUCACUGUCACAGAGACUGAUGUUCCUGGUGCUUGUGUUAUUACCGAGUCUGUUGGUGGACAGGUUGUAGGUCAGACUAUACAACCUAGGCCAGUGAGGCAAGGUGAAAAUGGGACUCGCAAACAAAGAGGAAUUGGUGGAACAGGAGCAACUGGCAAGGUAACCAUAGGCGAAGCUCUAGAAGCUGUUGCAGCAACAGCAGGUGACAAACCCGUCGACCAAAGCGAUGCAGCAGCAGUACAGGCAGCUGAGGUCAGGGCCACUGGUAACACUGGGAUAGUUCCCGGUGGUGUUGCUGCUGCUGCUCAGUCCGCUGCUUCUAUGAAUGCCCAAACUACUCUUGAAGAGGAUAAAAUUAAGCUUGGUGACAUUUUAACGAAUGCAACCAUGAAAUUGCCUGCUGAUAAGGAAGCGACAAGGCAGGAUGCGGAGGGAGUAGUUAGCGCUGAGCUAAGGAACAAUCCAGAUGUAGCAACCCAGCCUGGUGGUGUGGCGGCGUCCGUAGCAGCAGCUGCUAGACUCAACGAGAGAAAUCCAUGAGGUUAAGCGAUAGAUAAUCUCCAGCAAGGCGGAGAUUACGUUGUAGGAGACUUUUAACGACUUAAAAGUGGCCUACAGGCUAGUGUAUUCAAGAGUCAGUAUUGCAUUGACAUUACAGGUUCGCAGAUGCAUUUCAUUGGGAAUCUGGAAUGAAGAGACUACUUAUAUACCUAGCAUAGUUUAAGUUCUGUUUUCGUAGGAACAUCUUUAUUUCAGUUUGUGGUUUAUUUAAGUUGGUGUGUUUAAGAUACAAACACUUGUUUUUUUAUUUAGUGAGUUCUAAUAAAGUUGGUUUUUAGUAAA